UGAGUUGAAUAAAGGAAUAUCUUUAAAUAGCUCCCUCUUUUUUAUCACAUACUAAAUUCCUUGCUCCUGAAGUGUAUUUCAUUUCAGUGUAUUUCAGGUAUUGGAACAGCCUGCCCAGGGAGGUGGUGGAGUCACCAACCCUGGAGUAUUUUGAGGGAAAAGGGAACAAACGGAUGUCAGUUACCUGGACAAGGGAAACCGCACGUGAGAGACUGGAUUUCUGUCCCCACCUUCUGCUAAAUGCAUGCAGAAAACAUCUUCAUUAAAAAGAAACCUCAUCUCUGAGAAAGAUUUAACAAAGCCAAACUCAUUGAGAGGAAAUAGGUUGAAGUUUUGUUAGAAAUCACAGGGAUCACUUGAGGGCCACAGGCCGUCAGAUGUAAUGACUGUGAGUGAACACAUUUGCCCAGAGCCUGUAAACCCUGGGUAGAAGCUUUUGGUGUUAUUUACCAUACGGUUCCAGGCAGCUGCAAUCCAUCCAGGCCAAUGUUCCUGAGAGCUGGCUGCCAGAUACCUCCACACUCCUCACGAGAGCUCCAGAGCUGAGCACUGAGCUGAACGUUGGACAUGGACAUCCCCCAUGAAACCACGCGGCUUUGGGGGGAGCUGCAAAGUCUGAGACAGUUUUGGAGGUGGGAAACUGCCCCUGUUUUAUUGCACCCCCACCGAGAGUGUGUGCCCCCGGCAGGGGCAGGGAUCCCUGACAGAAGGUUUGCAGCAGCCAGAGCUAAGUGUGACC
rnacentral:lncRNA from 1 species